AUGAACUUCUCGUCAGUUGGUUAGUUUCUUUUCCUCCGGGUUCAAUGAACUUCUAGCUUCGUUGGGAAGGUUAUUGAACCUUAUCAUUUAGAGGAAGGAGAAGUCGUAACAAGGUUUCCGUAGGUGAACCUGCGGAAGGAUCAUUG
rnacentral:rRNA from 1 species